AGUGAGCCUGUUUGGAGACAUCACCUGCGAGUGAUUUCCUGAAACACUGACUCAGUGGAGCCAUGGCACAAUCACGAAGGUUAACUCCCCAAAGGUUUUCAAAAAAGCUCUUAAUAUACCACCUCAUGUUAAAAGUUGUCAGCACCGUUGGCAAGCACUAAAGAGGAACACGAAGGAGUUGUACUUUUCUGGAUGUGAUUAAUUUUGGCACAGUGCUUGUUCCCAUGGCUGAGCCCUGCGUGCACUGCUGUUCUUGUCAGAUGAAGGAUACCAAGUACACAGUCCAGGAGUCAUAAAUUCUGCUUACUCUCGGCUCAGUUCAGGGAGAGAUUGCAGCGGUGAUGUCCUUCCAGUUUCAUUCUUGUUGUAAGUAUUAGGAUUUGGGAAGAGCUGACUAUUUUUGUUCACGAUAUUUGGUGCUCUGAAGCUGCCAGCUUAGAUGCUUGUUGUAAGGUGAAUUAUUGUCUGUUAGGCCUGGGGUGAAAAAAGUUUCAUAGAAAAUAGAAAGCUAAGUAUGUUUUUGUAAUAAAAUAAUUUUGAAAUGAAAGUAAUUCUUCUGUUUCUUGAAUUGUUAUUUCAUCUGCUGAUGAAUAGGGAAUGGUGUGCUGCAGUAGUUCUUAUUUCAGUCA